AUCCGAAUUACUAAGGUU
rnacentral:misc_RNA from 1 species